ACUCAAAUUCUCCACCAAAUAUGCGUCCACCAUCCGUCGACGUUGCUGUAUAGGUAAUUUUUUCCGUUAUUUGGUGUUGAGUCAAGAGACCUAGUAUGGAAGACCAAAGGAGACGUAGCCUGGAAGCUCUAGAGAGACGAUUUUCUCAAGCAAAGUCAGAGGUUCAGUCACAGCAACAGAUGAGCAAGAAAAGGCCAGCUGAAGAUAAGAAAACAUUUUUUGUAGAUUCACCACUCAAUAAGCCCCUCUCGAUAUCUUCAUCUAAAAAAGGCAACUUUUCUUUUCCAGAUCGUACUUCUAAAGAAGGC